CCUACGGGGGGCUGCAGUCGAGAAUUUUUCUCAAUGGGGGAAACCCUGAAGGAGCGACGCCGCGUGGAGGAUGAAGGCUUUCGGGUUGUAAACUCCUGUCAUUUGGGAACUAGUACCAGAAGAGGAAGAGACGGCUAACUCUGUGCCAGCAGCCGCGGUAAUACAGAGGUCUCAAGCGUUGUUCGGAUUCAUUGGGCGUAAAGGGUGCGUAGGUGGCGCCAUAAGUCAGGUGUGAAAUCUCGGGGCUUAACUCCGAAACUGCAUUUGAUACUGUGGUGCUUGAGGACUGGAGAGGAGACUGGAAUUCACGGUGUAGCAGUGAAAUGCGUAGAGAUCGUGAGGAAGACCAGUGGCGAAGGCGGGUCUCUGGACAGUCCUGACACUGAGGCACGAAGGCCAGGGGAGCAAACGGGAUUAGAUACCCUUGUAGUC
rnacentral:rRNA from 1 species